UACGUAGGGUGCGAGCGUUGUCCGGAAUUACUGGGCGUAAAGAGCUCAUAGGUGGUUUGUCACGUCGUCUGUGAAAUUCCGGGGCUUAACCUCGGGCGUGCAGGCGAUACGGGCAAUACUUGAGUGCUGUAGGGGAGACUGGAAUUCCUGGUGUAGCGGUGGAAUGCGCAGAUAUCAGGAGGAACACCGAUGGCGAAGGCAGGUCUCUGGGCAGUAACUGACGCUGAGGAGCGAAAGCAUGGGUAGCGAACAGGAUUAGA
rnacentral:rRNA from 1 species